AUACACAAUAUAGUCACUACACUUCGGAAGUUAUAAAGGGUCACAGAGACACUUCCUUGAGUUGUAACUAGUAUGAAUCUCUUAGACAGGAAGAACUGGUAUUGGUGUACACCUUUAGUCCCACAGAAGAGGUAGAGGCAGGUGGGUCUCCUUGAGUUCUAGGCCAGUCAUGCUACAGGACCAUGACCCAGGACAGGCAGAAAGCUACACUGUAAAAACCCUGUCUGAAAUAAUAGCAACAAAAUACUAACAGGGCAAAAGAAAGCCAAGAUCUAAGAAGAGAUGGGAGAAACCACCCAGUUUGAGUGAAACAGGAAACCUUCAUCUUAAAAGGCUUCCGUUUUAACUUUCCAGCAGCGGAGUAGGGGCAAGGAAGCUUCUGAAAGCAGAGAGACUGUACUGGUGAAGCUACACAGAAGGUACACAGGUUGAUUCUUGUGUUAUGCUCGAAAAGGUUUUGGAGGUGCUGGUAGAAAAAGUCCUAGGAAGCAGGGGUAAAGAGUAAGGUCCUGUAUUAAGAAGGGACUUCACCUGAACACAUGGGAUGGGACCCAUCUCCGGUUUGUGGCUGAGGUGGCACCCUGUUGAGUCUCCAAGUAAACCUGUGCACUGCCAAUAACUGCUGACUAAAACAGGACCAAGACUCACAGCUGUCUUGAGUCUCUACAGGAUGCUUUAUGAAGUCAGUGUGACCAUAAACUCAUACAAAAAUGAUAAGCUGAGCGUGGUGACACAUGCCCUUUGUACAGAGAGCCUCAAGUACAUAGUUCUAGGCUAGCCAGAGCAACAAAGUGGGCCCUCUCAAAGGGUGUGUGCAUUGAGUAUGACAGCAUGCUUAUAGUUCCAGAACUUGACCUGAGGCAGGUGGAUCUCAAGUUCAAGACUAGCCUGCACUACACAGAAACUGAAAAGAUUCGAGGGACCCAGACCUCAGGAGUGGAGGGUAUCUAUCCUACAGAAACAACAGAUUGAAAGAAUGGAGUCCACAUGGGAAUGUACGAAGUUUGAAGUGUGAGAGGACAUGUCUGCAAGCGUUUAAGAGAGAAAAGGACCAGGGGUAAUUAGCUUGUCCAGAAUAUCCAGCUGGGUGUGGCAGUAUACUUCCUUAAUCCCCAGGCAGAUAGAAGCCAAUGUCAAGUUAGCCUGGGCCACACCAUGCAUGCAGGCAAACAGUCUCUGAGGAUCUAUACAUGACAUCAUUUCUAACAAACCCCUGCCCUCCACCCCUGAAGUGCUGCUGCACUCACACCUCCGGCACCUGACCCUGCCUCCUCCCAUGUGUCAGAUGCUGUUACACUAAAAAGAGGCCCAAUGCAUGGACUUGCAGGCACCCGGAAAUGAGCCAAGGCUGCCUUGUUCCUUCUGUACUCCAAAUAGAAGUAUACCAAAUGCCUCCUAUCUCUAGAAUAGAGAUAGGUUUCACUGUUCUGCUGGCUAGUCUUACAGCAACUUGACACACAAGCCAGAGUUAUCUGAAAGGAGUGAACCUCGGUUGAGAAAAUGUCUCCAUAAGACCCAGCUGUAGGGCAUUUUCUUAGUUACUGGUAUAGUUACUGGUGAAGGGCCCUGUCUACUGUGGGGGUGCUACACCUACACUGGUAGUUUUGGGUCCUAUAAGAAAGUAGGCUGAGUAAGCCACAGGAAGAAAGCCAGCAGAUCACCUCACCUCCAGAGCCUCUGCAUCAGCUUCUGCCUCCAGGUUCCUGCCCUGUUUGAGUUCCUGUCCUAACUUCCUCCAAUGAAGGACUAUGAUCUGGGAGUGUAAGCCAAAUAAACCCUUUUCUCU
rnacentral:lncRNA from 1 species